GGCCAUUCAUGCAGUAAAACUGAGAUGUUUUCCAGUUAUUUCAAAUUAUUCCUCCUCUUUCUAAAACAGACCAAAAAGAACUACAAGAGAAACCAUGGAAAUUGCUUACAGUAUCUUGGGCACAGCUUUAUCAUUUAGGGCCAGUACUCCUGGAGGGAAGUAUAGCACAGGGACUGCUGGACAAGCAUCAUACCCUCAGAAACAUGACCCUCUGCAGCCUUGGAUAUUGGCACGUUUUUACCAGAGAGACCCAAUGUUUGCCUGGAGAAUGACGUCAUUUUUCCAUUUGUUUGGCAGCUGCAGUGACACUUUGGCCUUUACAAGGACAGGUGAGACUCUGAUUUCUCUCUCCACAAUGCUGUCCUCCUCCUUGAGCCUCUCUUGUGCAGCUGCAUGCCAAGGUCAGUGUUUGUAGGAAAACUUAGGAGUCUGCCAGGCUGCCGGUCAGCAGAGAAACCUCUGAAGGAGCUGACAGUGCAAUCCAGUCAAAGGCCUUGUACUUCUGUUCCUCUCUUUUCCUUCAUGCUGCCCUUCCUGAUCUGUGGGUUUUUUUCUGAAGGAAGCUGUGGCACAUGACCUGG
rnacentral:lncRNA from 1 species